GUGACCCCAUAGACGGCAGCCCACCAGGCUGCCCCAUCCCUGGGAUUCUCCAGGCAAGAACACUGGAGUGGGUUGCCAUUUCCUUCUCCAGUGCGUGAAAGUGAAAAGUGAAAGUGAAGUCGCUCAGUCGUGUCCGACUCUUAGCGACCCCAUGGACUGCAGCCUACCAGGCUCCUCCAUCCAUGUGAUUUUCCAGAGAACUGGCUUAUGCAUUUGCAGAGACUAGUUCAACAGUCUCUGUAAGGCUGUUGUCUUUACAUCUGCUGCUGGAGCUUGACAUCCACAGACGAGGCAGUUAGGAAGGUGAGAUCACAAGCAGGCUGGAGCCCACAGGAUGAACUCAAACCCUGUUGGCUCCUGUUGCUUCUGGCUUAACUGAUGCGUCUGUCCUGCGGAAGCUGGGGCCGUUUGUCAGAGUUAAUCCCAGGUACCUGGCCCAGGAGUUAAAGCUGCUGAAGGAGAUCCAGAUGCAUAAAAUGGAAAUUGAGGUAUGAUCCUGUGAAAAGGAUGCCUCUCUAUCAAUAUUAAGGAGAUAGACUUGGGUAGGGAGCAAAGAGUGUUGACCUGCAGUGCUGGAUUGAAGGAUGGCCUUGGUGAAGAAAAUUCCUUUUUCUAUAUUUACAGGGCUCUACAGUUUUGUGAAGGAGAAAAGGACAAAAAUGCUUUGGUAAACAGAACAUGGAUAAAGCAUAAGAAAUGACCAAGAACUGUCUCUUUG
ensembl:lncRNA